CCUCAAUCAGCUUGCCCUUCUAGUCUCCUCUAGGCUGGAAGCCUGAAAACUACAUUUCCCAGAAUCCUUUCCAGCUUAUUCUGUUAGGAUCUUCCAACAGGAGGCACUGGCAGGAGACUGGAAAGUGAAAGAAAGGGAAAAGCCAUUUAUUCCCGGUUUCUGUAUCCUGGAAAUAAUUGGAACAUUCACAAAGAAUGAAUAACCUUGACAGAGGUCCUUCAGGAGAUAUUAUGGAAGAAGGCAUAUUUUUUGUUUUUGUUUUUUUGAGGAGUCUCACUCAGUCACCCAGGCCAGUGCUGAUCUCACCUCUAUUUCCUGAAUUCAAGUGAUUCUCCCACCUCAGUCUCCAGAGUAGCUGGGAUUACAGAUGUGCACCACUGUG